CUUGCCUCUAGAGGCAUGUCAGAUGUUCCUGCUCUGUCACAUGUGUGUCACUAGGUGGCCAAGAAGAGAAAAUCUAUGACGUUUAGUGUUCUGAUCUACAGACAUUGGGACAAUUAAUAGCCUAGCAUU